rnacentral:lncRNA from 11 species
UUUGAUUCUCUCUUGAGAUCUUGCAAAAGAAGCGAGAGUGGGGUUCUUGCUUGCUCCUCCCUGCCUUUUGCAUUCAUUCUUCAGCUGGCUGAGCUUCCGCGUUGCAAUAGCGCGGGUUCCACACUCUUCAGGGUGGCAGCGGGAAAGUGCUAAGGCCAGAGCCAUGAAAAGGCAGAGGAACGAGAGACCAAAUUGCCAAUAUCUGCUGGAUAAUGGAGGAAGGUAGGGAGUUUCAGAAAAACAUCUAUUUCUGUUUUAUUGACUAUUCU